ACAAGUGUGCUGUGAAUCCCACAGGGGACAGGCUGUACAUCAUCAGCUCCAGGCAGGACAAGCUUCUCACCCUGGCCAGGGAUGGCACACUCCUGGCUACAUUCACAGACCGAGCACUAGAGCACCCAUCUGGUCUACAUGUGACCCCUGCAGGCCAAGUGCUGGUCUGUGGAGACUGGUCUGACACUGUACUACAGGUGGGCUGGGGGGGAGAGAGUAAGCUGGCUACGCUGGCUAAACAGAAGGAUGGAGUGUGGUGGCCACAGUCAGUCUGCUACAGCAGCACCACAUCAUCCAUCAUUGUGGGACAGCAGGACACCAUCCUGGUGUUCAGAGUGGAAUAGUGUGUACAUUGUCUGCUGAGUCAGGACAACAAUGAUGAGGAUGUGGUGGACAAGAAUGGCCUGAGAACGCAGAAGCAACUGCUUAGCACAGAAGAUGACUGUCUGACGAAAGGCUCAGCCGUAUCACAGUCCAGUGAUGAGGGGGGAUGAUGCUGUCGUUCCAUGUCUUAAGAUUGCAUCAUGAAAGCUGAAACUUGGAAGGGAGAGAACUGAAGAUCUGCAACAGCAGUGAGCAUGAGCAUUGUUAUCGAGUUGACAUGGCAACGGCACCAGUCGGACCCCCAGGAGCCUCAGUCCAGGACAACCCUUCCCCUCCCAUGACCCAUAGCUCUACCCCUUUGACCUCCUGCCUCAAAGCUUUGUUGAACAAUACCAAUCUGCUGGAAUGUCUGAGCAUCUCCGUGUCGAUCAAUAAGCACUCGAACCUUAGUAGUUUGUUAAGCUCCAGUGCCGAAAAAUAAAAAGUUGGAUAACUUGUUACAUGCUUUAUGGGACUAACAAAGCAACAGCGAAUAAUGGGAGAAAAUCAAGAAACAGUUGAAGAGUUAAAAUUGGAAGCAUAAGCUAUCCACGGGGGCUACUUCUGAUUUCAGUAGUCGUAAUGGACCAUCCUGAUUUGUCCUCUAAUGCGUCCCAAAUGUUCAGACGAACGUGCUUUUUACGCAGUUGCUGAAAAAAAAACUUUGUUAUGAACACUCAUAGCAUGAUGAAUACAUCGGGUGUGGUUCAGGCACAAAUUCAGCCCAUCCUCGUUAACAAGGUGCUUAAGGUGCACCCAUCAGGGUUUGUUACGAGCACUUCACACUCCAAGACAAAACGGCCUGGCAUUGAUUAGACACUAGAUAAAGUGUUGAAAAAUGACAGCAGUUUUGUUGUGUGGCCAAGUAUGCCCUUUUACUCUUAACCUGACAUUAGGUAGAACUCAAACUCGGCCCUCAGCAAUAUCAGCGAGGCUAGCAGUUUUGUUGUUUGGUCCAGUAAGCCCUUUGACUCUCAACCCGACAUUAGGUAGAACUCAAACUCAAUCCUCAGCAAUAUCAGCGAGGCCAGCGUGUCAUCUCGCCUUCUUCAGCCUCAGCAAACAGUAUUAGCCAACAAGACAAACAUCAUUGAAGUGAAUGUUGAUGGCAAUCCGCACCCCCUUCUUCAACAAAUACUACAACUCGCUCAAGACAUUAAGUAGCAAGACGUCUUGCAUCAGCCUAGCACCCACAUCUUCUCCAAUGUUGGCUUCACACAGCAGAGCCUUGAUGAGUCCGACUAUCAUUGCUGGACAUGGACAACUUGUUCCAGACGAGUUGCUCAAGUGGAAAAGAUUUGUCAUUAUACAGCAGAUAGAGCAGGCGUUAAGUAUCUUUCUGUAAAUGUGACUGACCUCGAUAUGUUUUUCUGAAAUAAUGUGAACCUGACGCCCAAGGAGCAGUCUGUGAUUGACGCCAUUUAGCAGCAGCUGUUUACUGACAUGCUCGGUUUUGGGUUUGUUGACUUUGGCAUCUGGACUUGCACCAUCUCUGUCUGUAUCCCAUUAACAGCAGCAACAGCAUUAACAACAACAGGACAUCUUAUCAAUGAACAUGACGCCCUUUCCGGAAUGAACAGUGGCACUGCGAUUAAUGUGAACCUUCAGAGAAAAGGAAUUCUAGGACCAAUAUCACCCCAGUAUCAAUCAGGGCUCCAACAAUAGCCGCCCCCCAGCCCAAGCCUUGUGAGCACUUGGGAAGGGGUCAAGAUGUCCAUGGGGUCUUAACUCUGUUGUCCCAGGGCUUCUCUCAGCAACAGUGGGAAUACCUGGCGUCCCAGCAGGGGAUCUCACACUAUAACAACGGUCACCUAUAAUUGUCUGGUGGCGUUCAGCUUCAGACGUUGCAAAAUCAGCUUUAUUGGUUCAGCGAGCCCACAGUAUCCAAACAACAAAGGCAUCCACACAGGAACAACAACAACAUCACGCGGAUCAGCCAUCUCAAAUGUAUGGACAGCAGUUUAUUGAAACGUUUGCUCAGUAUGGAAAAUACUGGGCUUAUGCUUGAGCGUAAACUGUUGUCCCAGAGACUUUCUUUUAACGAAAACUACCAUUCAAAAGGAAAGUGUCCUCCCUGAUUACCCUGGUUAGACUGCACAAUUUAGGCCAACACUUUAAGCACAGGCUUUAAGCUCACUUUUCCCAGAACAAGCCUUAUAUUUAUAUCCCAUGUGCAUGUUGCAAAUUUCCAUGAAUCAUUCCUUGUGAUAUCAAAGUAUGCAUAUUACAUUUUGUAUUAUCAUACGUUUGUAUGGAUCAUGUUAGGUACUUGUUGUUUACAUAUAUAUUUCCAUAUGAGCUAGGCUCUGGGAAAACCAGGCUUCAUGUAUGUGACCUCCACACAGGCUAAUUAGGGAAGACAAUUUCUGCUUCAUGUAUGUGCACUCCACACAGGCUAAUCAGGGAAGACAAUUUCUGCUUCAUGUAUGUGCACUCCACACAGGCUAAUUAGGGAAGACAAUUUCUGCUUCAUGUAUGUGCAGUUCACACAGGUUAAUCAGUGAAGACAAUUUCUGCUUCAUAUAUGUACAGUCCACACAGGCUAAUCAAGGAAGACAAUUUCUGCUUCAAGUAUGUGCAGUUCACACAGGCUAAUCAGGGAGGACAAUUUCUGCUUCAUGUAUGUGCAGUUCACACAGGUUAAUCAGGGAAGACAGUUUCUGCUUCAUAUAUGUGCAGUUCACACAGGCUAAUUAGGGAAGACAAUUUCUGCUUCAUAUAUGUGCACUCCACACAGGCUAAUCAGGGAAGACAAUUUCUUCUUCAUAUAUGUGCACUCCACACAGGCUAAUUAGGGAAGACAAUUUCUGCUUCAUGUAUGUGCACUCCACACAGGCUAAUUAGGGAAGACAAUUUCUGCUUCAUGUAUGUGCACUCCACACAGGCUAAUUAGGGAAGACAAUUUCUGCUUCAUGUAUGUGCACUCCACACAGGCUAAUCAGGGAAGACAAUUUCUGCUUCAUGUAUGGGUACUCCAAACAGGCUAAUUAGGGAAGACAAUUUCUGCUUCAUGUAUGUGCACUCAACACAGGUUAAUCAGGGAAGACAAUUUCUGCUUCAUGUAUGUGCACCCCACACAGGUUAAUCAGGGAUGACAAUUUCUGCGGCAUGUAUGUGCAGUUCACACAGGCUUAUCAGGGAAGACAAUUUCUGCUUCAUGUAUGUGCAGUUCACACAGGUUAAUCAGGGAAGACAAUUUCUGCUUCAUGUAUGUGCAGUUCACACAGGUUAAUCAGGGAAGACAAUUUUUGCUUCAUGUAUGUGCAUUUCACACAGACUAAUCAAGGAAGACAAUUUCUGCUUCAUGUAUGUGCAGUUCACACAGGCUAAUCAGGGAAGAAAACUUCUGCUUCAUGUAUGUGAAGUCCACGCUGUUGCCAUGCGACUCCCUGGUUAACAGCAGGUCACCCCUCCAUACAAUGUGGAAUCACAGGUGGUUAGCGUGUGUCUCACAUUUUAAGAAAUAAUACGAUACACAACUCGCGUGAGCUACUCAUUGUUGAUCGGACCCGGUUAAUGAAAUUGUCAGGUGAAAAGACACACCAUCGCAAUGGACCAAUGAAAUCACUUGUGUGUUUAUUAUGUCAGCCAGUUGAAACGUAUGUAAACAAUGGUUUAAAACGGCGCUGGGCAGUUAGUUUUGAUGCAUAAUGUAAUGGCAAGAACUGUACGAUAGUUUUUUUGUAC